ACAAAGAUGAAAACCAAAGGAUGUUUAAUAUUUCUUCAGUUGCUAAUAUUUUUGAAUAUGCACCUGUGUGUCAAAGAAAACAAUCUCUUUUUGCCGAAAGAAAAGGCAGAAUCAUUUCUACAAGAUCGGUCAGGACGAGUCAAACGGGACAUCGAUGAAGAAUGCAGGGAAACAGACGGUUGUUGGAUCGAAGAAAUUCUAGAGUACGGAGUCACUGACGUGAUAUUGACGAGUGCGCCAGCAAUCCGUGUCAAAAUGGCGGUACAUGUUCGAACCUCGUCAACAGAUUUUCCUGUUCCUGCCCUGAACACGUCCAUGGAACGGUUUGUGAAUUCGGUAACCAUAAAAACAAAGAUUUAG
rnacentral:sRNA from 1 species